GAUGAACGCUGGCGGCAUGCUUUACACAUGCAAGUCGAACGGCAGCACGAGUGCUUGCACUUGGUGGCGAGUGGCGAACGGGUGAGUAAUACAUCGGAACGUGUCCUAAAGUGGGGGAUAACGCAUCGAAAGAUGUGCUAAUACCGCAUAAUCUCUAAGGAGAAAAGUAGGGGAUCGAAAGACCUUAUGCUUUUGGAGUGGCCGAUGUCUGAUUAGCUAGUUGGUGGGGUAAUGGCCUACCAAGGCGACGAUCAGUAGCUGGUCUGAGAGGAUGGCCAGCCACACUGGGACUGAGACACGGCCCAGACUCCUACGGGAGGCAGCAGUGGGGAAUUUUGGACAAUGGGCGCAAGCCUGAUCCAGCAAUGCCGCGUGAGUGAAGAAGGC
rnacentral:rRNA from 1 species